rfam:Schistosoma curassoni strain Dakar, Senegal genome assembly, scaffold: SCTD_contig0000272
AUCCAACCAACGAGUCUCAAAUAGGACGAGACGAGCGUCCAGGAU